GAUGAACGCUGACAGAAUGCUUAACACAUGCAAGUCAACUUGAACUUCGGUUUGGGUGGCGGACGGGUGAGUAACGCGUAAAGAACUUGCCUCACAGAUAGGGACAACAUUUGGAAACGAAUGCUAAUACCUGAUAUUAUGAUUAUAUGGCAUCGUAUAAUUAUGAAAGCUAUAUGCGCUAUGAGAGAGCUUUGCGUCCCAUUAGCUAGUUGGAGAGGUAACGGCUCACCAAGGCGAUGAUGGGUAGCCGGCCUGAGAGGGUGAUCGGCCACAAGGGGACUGAGACACGGCCCUUACUCCUUCGGGAGGCAGCAGUGGGGAAUAUUGGACAAUGGACCAAGAGUCUGAUCCAGCAAUUCUGUGUGCACGAUGAAGUUUUUCGGAAUGUAAAGUGCUUUCAGUUGGGAAGAAAAAAAUGACGGUACCAACAGAAGAAGUGACGGCUAAAUACGUG
rnacentral:rRNA from 1 species